AAAGCGAGCUCCUCUCAAAUGAAUCAGUGGGGUCUGCUUUGCUGGUCCUUGACGUGAUAAGAUGUUUCUACGUUUUGGAUUUGGCAUCGUCCCGCUCCCAACCGUCCCACGGACGAACGAUGGUGCUCCGGUCGUCCCGGCCGGACCCACGACAAAAACCUUGACCUCAAAUCGGGUGAGACUACCCGCUGAACUUAAGCAUAUCAAUAAGCGGAGGAAAAGAAACUAACAAGGAUUCCCCUAGUAACUGCGAGUGAAGCGGGAAAAGCUCAAAUUUAAAAUCUGGUGGUCUUUGGCCAUCCGAGUUGUAAUUUAGAGAAGCGUCUUCCGCGCCGGACCGUGCACAAGUCUCCUGGAACGGAGCGUCGUAGAGGGUGAGAAUCCCGUCUUUGGCAUGGACCCACCGGGGCUUUUGUGAUGCGCUCUCGAAGAGUCGAGUUGUUUGGGAAUGCAGCUCAAAAUGGGUGGUGAACUCCAUCUAAAGCUAAAUAUUGGCGAGAGACCGAUAGCGAACAAGUACCGUGAGGGAAAGAUGAAAAGCACUUUGGAAAGAGAGUGAAACAGUACGUGAAAUUGUUGAAAGGGAAACGCUUGAAGUCAGUCGCGUCUACCGAGACUCAGCCUCGCCUCGGCUUGGCGUACUUCUCGGCCGACGGGUCAGCAUCAGUUUCGCCUCUUGGAUAAUGGCGGGGGAAAAGUGACACCUUUUACGGUGUGUUAUAGUCUCUCGUCGCAUGCAAGGGUCGGGAUUGAGGAACUCAGCACGCGCCUUUGGGCGUCGGGG
rnacentral:rRNA from 1 species